rnacentral:rRNA from 1 species
GAUGAACGCUAGCUACAGGCUUAACACAUGCAAGUCGAGGGGAAACGACAUCGAAAGCUUGCUUUUGAUGGGCGUCGACCGGCGCACGGGUGAGUAACGCGUAUCCAACCUGCCCACCACUUGGGGAUAACCUUGCGAAAGUAAGACUAAUACCCAAUGAUAUCCCACGAAGGCAUCCGAAUGGGAUUAAAGAUUUAUCGGUGAUGGAUGGGGAUGCGUCUGAUUAGCUUGUUGGCGGGGUAACGGCCCACCAAGGCUACGAUCAGUAGGGGUUCUGAGAGGAAGGUCCCCCACAUUGGAACUGAGACACGGCCCAGACUCCUACGGGAGGCAGCAGUGAGGAAUAUUGGUCAAUGGACGAGAGUCUGAACCAGCCAAGUAGCGUGCAGGACGACGGCCCUAUGGGUUGUAAACUGCUUUUAUAAGGGAAUAAAGUGAGUCUCGUGAGACUUUUUGCAUGUACCUUAUGAAUAAGGACCGGCUAAUUCCGUG